rnacentral:lncRNA from 1 species
ACAAUCUUAAGUAUGUUUGAGUGAACAGUUUGUAUGUUUACUUAGGAACAUGAUGCACGUUCCAAGGACACAAUAUUUCAUUCCAGCUCAUCUAAUAUCUAACUUCGUCUUAACCAUCACAAUAAAUUUUUUUUAAUUAAAACUCAUAAUAAAUACUAUUAUAAAAUUUGACAUCUAUCUCUAUGAUAUAUUUUAUUAUUUAUCGUUAAACAUAUUAUUUAAAAAAUAAAAACCAAAUCAUGGGAAU